rnacentral:rRNA from 1 species
AUUGAAUGCUGGCGGCAGGCCUAACACAUGCAAGUCGAACGAGUGGCGGACGGGUGAGUAAUGUCUGGGAAACUGCCUGAUGGAGGGGGAUAACUACUGGAAACGGUAGCUAAUACCGCAUACCCUCGGAUGUGCCCAGAUGGGAUUAGCUAGUAGGUGGGGGAAAGGCUAACCUAGGCGACGAUCCCUAGCUGGUCUGAGAGGAUGACCAGCCAAACUGGAACUGAGACACGGUCAAGACUCCUACGGGAGGCAGCAGUGGGGAAUAUUGCACAAUGGGGGCAAGCCUGAUGCAGCCAUGCCGCGUGUAUGAAGAAGGCCUUCGGGUUGUAAAGUACUUUCAGCGGGGAGGCGUUACCCGCAGAAGAAGCACCGGCUAACUCCGUGCCAGCCGCCGCGGUAAUUC